rnacentral:rRNA from 1 species
AUUGAACGCUGGCGGCAGGCCUAACACAUGCAAGUCGAACGAGUGGCGGACGGGUGAGUAAUGUCUGGGAAACUGCCUGAUGGAGGGGGAUAACUACUGGAAACGGUAGCUACUACCGCAUACCAUCAGAUGUGCCCAGAGGGGAUUAGCUAGUUGGUGGGGUAACGGCUCACCAAGGCGACGAUCCCUAGCUGGCCUGAGAGGAUGACCCUCCACACGGGAGCUGAGGCACGGUCCAGAAUCCUACGGGAGGCAGCAGUGGGGAAUAUGGCACAAUGGGCGCAAGCCUGAUGCAGCCAUGCCGCGUGUAUGAAGAAGGCCUUCGGGUUGUAAAGUACUUUCAGCGGGGAGGCGUUACCCGCAGAAGAAGCACCGGCUAACUCCGUGUCAGCAGCCGCGGUAAUAC